AGUAACGGCGAGUGAAGCGGCAACAGCUCAAAUUUGAAAUCUGGCGCACGCCCGAGUUGUAAUUUGGAGAGGAUGCUUCAGGGCAGCGGCCGGUCUAAGUUCCUUGGAACGGGACGUCAUAGAGGGUGAGAAUCCCGUAUGCGACCGGUUGGCACCCGUCACGUAGCUCCUUCGACGAGUCGAGUUGUUUGGGAAUGCAGCUCUAAAUGGGAGGUAAAUUUCUUCUAAAGCUAAAUACCGGCCAGAGACCGAUAGCGCACAAGUAGAGUGAUCGAAAGAUGAAAAGCACUUUGGAAAGAGAGUUAAAAAGCACGUGAAAUUGUUGAAAGGGAAGCGCAUGCCACCAGACUUGUCGGCGGUGUUCCGCCGGUCUUCUGACCGGUCUACUCGCCGCCGGCAGGCCAGCAUCAUCUGGGCGCGCCGGACAAAGGCACGGGGAAUGUGGCUCCUCGGAGUGUUAUAGCCCCGCGCACAAUACGGCGCCGCCCGGGUGAGGUCCGCGCUUCGGCUAGGAUGCUGGCGUAAUGGUGGUCUGCGGCCCGUCUUGAAACACGGACCAAGGAGUCUAACAUCUAUGCGAGUGUUCGGGUGUCAAACCCCUACGCGGAAUGAAAGUGAACGGAGGUGGGAAGCGUAAGCUGCACCAUCGACCGAUCCUGAUGUCUUCGGAUGGAUUUGAGUAAGAGCAUAGCUGUUGGGACCCGAAAGAUGGUGAACUAUGCCUGAAUAGGGUGAAGCCAGAGGAAACUCUGGUGGAGGCUCGCAGCGGUUCUGACGUGCAAAUCGAUCGUCAAAUUUGGGUAUA
rnacentral:rRNA from 1 species